CCAAGUGCUGGGUUGAGCCAUUUGGGUAAAUUUUUUGGGUUAUUUUCUCAGUCUUGGGUAGUUUUGGGGUAGUUCUAUGUAACCCAACCGCUGGGUUAUUUUCUGGGUCGUUUUCACUGAGAGCUGAAUCAAUGCACCCCCUCCCCCACUCGGACGCAAUAACCCAGCUCAUUGGGUCAAAUCAACUCCGCGCAGGAUCAGCGCAGCGCGGGCUGACUGAAUUCGAGGUGGAGGUGGAUGCCACACACACGCUGUAAUAUUUGGAGAAAUAAGACCUGCUCUUGACUGUCCGUGGUGGCAAAUCCACAGCCUUUAGCUGGAGUAGAAUCAACCG